UACGAAGGGGGCUAGCGUUGCUCGGAAUCACUGGGCGUAAAGGGUGCGUAGGCGGGUCUUUAAGUCAGGGGUGAAAUCCUGGAGCUCAACUCCAGAACUGCCUUUGAUACUGAGGAUCUUGAGUUCGGGAGAGGUUAGUGGAACUGCGAGUGUAAAGGUGAAAUUCGUAGAUAUUCGCAAGACCACCAGUGGCGAAGGCGGCUCACUGGCCCGAUACUGACGCUGAGGCACGAAAGCGUGGGGAGCAAACAGG
rnacentral:rRNA from 1 species